rnacentral:rRNA from 1 species
CAAUAGCGUAUAUUAAAGUUGUUGCGGUUAAAAAGCUCGUAGUUGGAUUUCUGCUGAGAACGACCGGUCCGCCCUUUGGGUGUGUAUCUGGCUCUUUCUUGGCAUCUUCUUGGUGAACGUUGCUGCACUUGACUGUGUGGAGCGCUACCCAGGACUUUUACUUUGAGGAAAUUAGAGUGUUUCAAGCAGGCAUACGCCUUGAAUACAUUAGCAUGGAAUAAUAAGAUAGGACCUCGGUUCUAUUUUGUUGGUUUCUAGAGCUGAGGUAAUGAUUAAUAGGGAUAGUUGGGGGCAUUCGUAUUUAACUGUCAGAGGUGAAAUUCUUGGAUUUGUUAAAGACGGACUACUGCGANANCAUUUUNCAAGGAUGUUNUCAUUNA